UGCGUAGGCGGAUAGAUAAGUCAGAGGUGAAAGCCCACAGCUUAACUGUGGAAUUGCCUUUGAUACUGUUUAUCUUGAAUGAGGUUGAGGUUAGCGGAAUGUGACAUGUAGCGGUGAAAUGCAUAGAUAUGUCAUAGAACACCAAUUGCGUAGGCAGCUAGCUAGGCCUUUAUUGACGCUGAGGCACGAAAGCAUGGGGAGCGAACAGGAUUAGAUACCCUGGUAGUCC
rnacentral:rRNA from 1 species